rnacentral:rRNA from 1 species
CAGCAGUCGCCGCGGUAAUACGAAGGGUGCAAGCGUUAAUCGGAAUUACUGGGCGUAAAGCGUGCGUAGGCGGUGAGUUAAGUCUGCUGUGAAAUCCCCGGGCUCAACCUGGGAAUGGCAGUGGAUACUGGCUCGCUAGAGUGUGUCAGAGGAUGGUGGAAUUCCCGGUGUAGCGGUGAAAUGCGUAGAGAUCGGGAGGAACAUCAGUGGCGAAGGCGGCCAUCUGGGACAACACUGACGCUGAGGCACGAAAGCGUGGGGAGCAAACAGGAUUAGAUACCCGCGUAGUCCCUGUCUCUUAUAA